UACGAAGGGGGCUAGCGUUGUUCGGAUUUACUGGGCGUAAAGCGCACGUAGGCGGAUCUUUAAGUCAGGGGUGAAAUCCCGGGGCUCAACCUCGGAACUGCCUUUGAUACUGGAGAUCUUGAGUCCGGAAGAGGUAAGUGGAACUGCGAGUGUAGAGGUGAAAUUCGUAGAUAUUCGCAAGAACACCAGUGGCGAAGGCGGCUUACUGGUCCGGAACUGACGCUGAGGUGCGAAAGCGUGGGGAGCAAACAGGGAUUAAGAAAC
rnacentral:rRNA from 1 species